CUCACAGCUCAAAGUGCUCUACCUAAAUCGAGCGCAGCGUCAGUUCAGCCAGGCCACGGAGGCAAGGCUGUGAACAGCUGAUGCGGUCAGCUGUCAAAUCGCUCCAAUCACCACCUCUCUCCUAUUAGACACGGGACAUAUAUAUACGUGCCACUACUGCUCGGUAAGUAUGCUCAACGACUCGCAAGGCUCAAACUGCUCACGAGAACCUUUGCUCAGGAACUAUCAGACGGCGAAUCUAUCUCCAUACAAGCGUCAAAUCAGGUUUUGCAGGAUUUCCACAGAAUAUCUCACCAGAUUUCAGUCGCGAACUUAAGCGAAUUCGCCGUGUUGUUUGUCAAGCAGCAGACUGAAUUUAUACAAGACUGGAACAAGGUUGGUUUUGGGGGUUCUUCUUCAGGCCGUAAUACUCUCAUUAUGUUUUGGGGGUUAAUGUUAAAGCUCUUGUAUGUUCAAUUAUUCUGGGAGCAAGAACCCCCAUAAGGAACCAUACAGCCAAAGAUAAAUUGUGUUCAAUAAACUCAAGUAAACUUGCCAAAGUGGUUCCUGUCUGAAAUCGAGCGCAGCGUCAGUUCAGUCAGGCCACGGAGGCAAGGCUGUGAACAGCUGAUGCGGUCAGCUGUCAAAUCGCUCCAAUCACCACCUCUCUCCUAUUAGACACGGGACAUAUAUAUACGUGCCACUACUGCUCGGUAAGUAUGCUCAACGACUCGCAACCCUCCCUCCCUCCCCAUUAUAUGCAUGAGCACAUUACUGGGCACCUUCUGGCUGUUGUCUUGUUUGUUUCAGAUCACUAAGGCUUCCAAAAAUCUUAGCUGGCAUGGACCUCUUUGCGGAGAGACACCCAUCUUCAUAACCAGGCUACAGGAUAGACGUACCACUGCCACAUCUACAUGAUUAUCACCGUUUGCUUUAAAGACUUUAUUAAAGUCUUAAUUAUUAUGUAUUUCUAAAUUCAUGGUUCCGGGGGGUUAAUGUUAAAGCUCUUGUAUGUUCAAUUAUUCUGGGAGCAAGAACCCCCAUAAGGAACCAUACCACCAAAGAUAAAUUGUGUUCAAUAAACUCAAGUAAACUUGCCAAAGUGGUUCCUGUCUGAACUUAUAAUUGUAAUAAUUUCAUACUUCAGUGUGUUACAAACAUAAUUGUGGUGUCUUUAGAAAGAAGACCCUUUGGGCUUCACUUUUUAUCAACCAGAUUUGAUAAUGCUCAAAAAUAAUAAAAGUUAUAGACACUGAAGUGCCUUGAAUUUUUUUUUACCACUCUCAAAUAUUUUUUUAUUUGAUAUAACAAUACAUGAAAUGAGUCCUGGAGCAAUCUAGAAAAGUAAUGGGUUGAAAGCCACAUGUCUCAUGAGUUUCUAUUUCAAAUCUGAAUAAAAUAUAAUGAAAAAUGAGACUCCUGCAAAUAUUUUUAUGAGACUAUGUCUACACCCCCCACCCCCCAAAUAUAAGAAAAUAUAUUUCCCAAUAGUAUUGAAGGCUUCUACAAACUAUUUAGUAAGUAAACAUACCACUGCAUAGUUUUUUUCAAUUAUAAAACACUAGACAGAGUGUUUUAGAAACUUA
ensembl:lncRNA